rnacentral:tRNA from 1 species
AAAAUCCGAAGUCCCUCUAUCCCCA